GGAUGGGUGGCCGAGUGGUUGAAGGCACCGGUCUUGAAAACCGGCAACGGGAAACCGUUCGUGGGUUCGAAUCCCACCCCAUCCGCCA
rnacentral:tRNA from 2 species